rnacentral:rRNA from 1 species
GUGGGGAAUAUUCCGCAAUGGACGAAAGUCUGACGGAGCAACGCCGCGUGAGUGAUGAAGGUUUUCGGACUGUAAAGCUCUGUUGUUUAGGACGAAAGUGCCUGUUGCAAAUAGUUACAGGUAUUGACGGUACUGAACGAGGAAGCCACGGCUAACUACGUGCCAGCAGUCGCGGUAAUACGUAGGUGGCAAGCGUUGUCCGGAAUUAUUGGGCGUAAAGAGCAUGUAGGCGGGAAUCUAAGUCUGUUGUGAAAAUGCGGGGCUCAACCCCGUAUUGCGAUGGAAACUGGGUUUCUUGAGUGCAGGAGAGGAAAGGGGAAUUCCCAGUGUAGCGGUGAAAUGCGUAGAUAUUGGGAGGAACACCAGUGGCGAAGGCGCCUUUCUGGACUGUGUCUGACGCUGAGAUGCGAAAGCCAGGGUAGCGAACGGGAUUAGAUACCCUAGUAGUCC